rnacentral:tRNA from 1 species
GGGGAUUUAGCUCAAGGGUAGAGCGCUUGCCUAGCAAGCAAUGCUCUGGGUUCAGUCCCCA